rnacentral:rRNA from 1 species
UACGUAGGUGGCGAGCGUUGUUCGGAUUUAUUGGGCGUAAAGGGUCCGCAGGAGGUUUGUUAAAAUUGGGGUGAAAUCCCGGAGCUCAACUCCGGAACUGCCUUGAUGACUGACGAACUAGAGUGCUGGAGAGGUAAGCGGAAUACCAGGUGUAGCGGUGGAAUGCGUAGAUAUCUGGUAGAACACCGAAAGCGAAGGCAGCUUACUGGACAGCAACUGACUCUCAGGGACGAAAGCGUGGGGAG